rnacentral:lncRNA from 1 species
GCAUUUCUGGUGGCCCGUACAGGAACUGGAGACGACAGAUUUACUGUCUCCUUUGCCUGGGGGACUUAGGGCCCUGGGGCUCGGGGAGACCCGGCAUCCAAGGCGCGCCAUGGGGGAGCUUCACCUGGAUGGAGACUGGCUCUCCCCGCGUCCCAGUGCCCUGCCCGGCAGCGCAACAGAACCGGAGACUGGGCUGCAGGACGAUACCAGCACUUCAGGAACCACGUUGCAGGUGUCACACCUUGGAUUCACCAUAGCCAGCAGAAACCAGUGGCAACAGAGACUCCCGAUGAUAACCAGUGGAUUAACCAACAAGACCCAGAUCGCCCCACCUGAAUAGUCCUACGGCGAAACCCAACCACCGGUAAGAAGGACAACUGGCCUGCUCUGACCACACCGGAGGAUGGUCAGUCUAUGCACGGCUGAAGCUUGAGGAUCCUGCAAGCUCUGCUCUAGUCACAUCCUGGAAGCUGACUAGUCUACGCACAGUCGAAGCUAAGAGGACCAUAUCCGGAUAAGUUAAAGAAAGAGGGACCAAUUAACUUCACCUUUUCCUAAACUUGAAAAGACAAACCAAAUUCUGCCCUUCAUCUCCAAUGUUUGAAAGAUCAGAGGUUCCUGUCAAGAACAUGGGUCCGUGUGUGGUUCACUCUGAAGCAUCUGUCUUCCUGUGAAAGAGCUUGCGGCUGGUGAGUGGAUACUGAGCCCAACUUCUGCAGGCUGCCCUCCCCUCUGGAUACCAAGCCCACCCAUGGCAAUCCCUUCAAGGCGUGACUCUCAUGAUAAUUAAAUGUGUGAUAAUGUGAAAAGGAAUUUUCAGAGAAACCAAGUCAAGGACUGGUG